CCACUUAGUCAAGGAGAAGAGAGGAAAUAAAGAGGGAGAGGAUUGGGAGCUCUGAUUCUAUUAGAAGGCCUCCAGAGGAGACUACUAAGCUGAAAAUGCAACCAGGGGAAAGUUGCGUUGCUGGUGAAAAGCCAAUUUGGUGUCACUGGAGAAUCAAUCAAUCACUCUGACAGUGCCAAGGUCUCUAAUCUCAGGGGAUCCCUUUUAUGAAACAACACACAGAUCACGCACACAAAGGCUGAAGGUCAAGCUGUUGCACCCUUGUCUCCGCUGCAUGCUAUGGGAACCUCAGGACCAGCACAUGCUCAAAAGUUGGACCCUAUAACACACAAAGGCUUCCACCCCGAACACACGGGGACGUGUCUUUGUCUGGGUAAAUUCUCACACUCGUCACUACCAGCUGAGGAGAUACGUCACAGUGUAUUGUGAAGGCUGGGGGAAGGAGCUACAACCCUUUAAACUCUCUCGUCAUCGGCUCUUUGGGUAACAUAUGUAUCAAAUCUCUGCUUUGACUCCAAAGACAA